CAAGAGCCGCCCUCUUGCUCCACUCCCUGUAACGGAUUUCAUGCUGCUCCACCACUCUCUGGCAAGUCCCGACAAUGGACACCACCCCACUCUCCGCAACAAGCUCCACGUGGCCCUGAACGACCCCUGACGCCACUACUCUCCAUAACAAACUUCACGCUGCUCUGAGCGGUCCACGAUCAGAUAGUUACAGACAUCACAGUCGGUCAGUUACACCCUCCGUCUAUAAAUAAGGAACCCCCAGACACGUUCUUCUCUAAGCUGGUAACUCUAUCUCGAAACUCUACCAAAAAUUUCCGCUCGAGCACUCCAUUUCUAUUGAAGCAGAGUACUGACUUGAGCAUCG
rnacentral:lncRNA from 1 species